rnacentral:rRNA from 1 species
CACCGCCCGUCACAUCACGAAAGUUAGUUGCUCUUGAAGUCGCCGCGCCAACCGCAAGGAGGCAGGUGCCGACGGAGUGACUAGCGAUUGGGUG